UGAUGACGGGUAACGGGGAAUAAGGGUUCGAUUCCGGAGAGAGGGCCUGAGAAACGGCCCUCAGGUCUAAGGACACGCAGCAGGCGCGCAAAUUAUCCCCUGGCAACACUUUGCCGAGAUAGUGACAAUAAAUAACAAUGCAGGGCUCUUACGGGUCUUGCAAUUGGAAUGAGUACAAUUUAAAUCCCUUAACGAGGAUCAAUUGGAGGGCAAGUCUGGUGCCAGCAGCCGCGGUAAUUCCAGCUCCAAUAGCGUAUAUUAAAGUUGUUGCCGUUAAAAAGCUCGUAGUCGAACUUCGGCGCCUGACGGCCGGUCCGCCUUCUUGGUGUGUACUUGCUCGUCGGGCGCUUACCUCCUGGUGAACUCUGAUGUCCUUUAUUGGGUGUCAGAGCAAACCAGGACGUUUACUUUGAAAAAAUUAGAGUGUUCAAAGCAGGCCUACGCCCGAAUACAUUAGCAUGGAAUAAUAGAAUAGGACGCGCGUUCCCAUUUUGUUGGUUUCUGAGAUCGCCGUAAUGAUUAAUAGGGAUAGUUGGGGGCAUUUGUAUUCCGUCGUCAGAGGUGAAAUUCUUGGAUUGCCGGAAGACAAACUACUGCGAAAGCAUUUGCCAAGGAUGUUUUCAUUGAUCAAGAACGAAGGAAGGGGGAUCGAAAACGAUCAGAUACCGUUGUAGUCUCUUCUGUAAACUAUGCCAAUUGGGGAUUAGCACAGGAUUUUCAAUGACUGUGUUAGCACCCGAAGAGAAAUCUUUAAAUGAGGUUCGGGGGGGAGUAUGGUCGCAAGGCUGAAACUUAAAGGAAUUGACGGAAGGGCACCACCAGGUGUGGAGCCUGCGGCUUAAUUUGACUCAACACGGGGAAACUCACCAGGUCCAGACACAAUAAGGAUUGACAGAUUGAUAGCUCUUUCUUGAUCUUGUGGUUGGUGGUGCAUGGCCGUUCUUAGUUGGUGGAGUGAUUUGUCUGGUUAAUUCCGAUAACGAACGAGACCUUAACCUGCUAAAUAGACCAGUCGACUUUGGUUGACUGCUGUCUUCUUAGAGGGACUAUCAGCGUUUAGCUGAUGGAAGUUUGAGGCAAUAACAGGUCUGUGAUGCCCUUAGAUGUUCUGGGCCGCACGCGCGCUACACUGACAGAGCCAGCGAGUCUUUUUCCUUUGCCGGAAGGCAUGGGUAAUCUUGUGAAACUCUGUCGUGAUGGGGAUAGAACAUUGCAAUUAUUGUUCUUCAACGAGGAAUACCUAGUAAGCGUGAUUCAUCAGAUCGCGUUGAUUACGUCCCUGCCCUUUGUACACACCGCCCGUCGCUACUACCGAUUGAAUGGCUUAGUGAGGCCUCCGG
rnacentral:rRNA from 1 species